AACCCUGGAGUGCCGCUGUGUCUUCUACUGUGACACCCACCCCACAGGGGACGAUCAAGGAAACAAGAAUCACACCGACUUCAAUAAGGAGCUUUAAUGCAAGAAUGAAGGAUGUGAGCAGACCCCUCCACAUUCCUUGAGGGAACAGGCCUUUGUGGAGAUUGGGAUGUCUUUUCAUAAAUUUACAACCCAUAAAACACUUUGCACAAUGUUGCUGAUCUUUGCAGUAUCUUUUUGGAACACUCCUGCGCAUGGUGCAGGGAAAUGGCAGAAGAUUCGUUAUUAUGAUGAUCGAUGGACUGAUGAUGGCAGAAUAGAGAGUGAAGUUUUGACCCUCCUACAGCAAUUCUCCAAGCAUGAGGAGGGAUGUCUUUUUCCCGUGGCAGAUCUAAUGAUAUCUGCAAGUGAUCGGGUAGAAGCCAGAGUGAAGUAAAGAAAAAUGCAAAGAAAGAAAAAAGAAACAUAAAUGAGUUAUGUUUAGCAGCUUGGCUUAAUUUUCCUUGAAGAACUCUCCCCAGGAUACUGA